UUUAUUUUCUAUUCUGUUCUUCAGUAAAGUUUUUCUUCUUUAGAUCUUCUCUAGUUUCCAUUUUAUUUUCUUUGGAUUCCUAACAAUUGGUCUGACCUGCCGGAUGCUAAUUCUGGGUGAGGAAACUGCUGGAUCUCACACCAAGAAGAAAUGGAGAAUUUGAUGACAUUCCUGAAGGGGACCAGCUAUCUAUUUGAGCUUAAGCGAAUGUUGAUGCAGUUGGAGAAGAAACAAGAAACUAAACCACAACAAAAGGGGUAAUUGAAGGAGGUGUUCAUGAACGAGAAAGGUAAAUCUUGGGAGUUGCAGCAUCAUUCUUGCAAGGCUUGUUUUUCAUAAUUGAAGCAUGGUCUGCACAAGGUACUAAAGAGUCUAACAGAAGAAAUCAUUUUUGAGGAGAAAAGGGUGAGAGAUGAGGAAAGGGAGGAGGUGAAGCCCUCUGCAAUCAAGAAGGUUGAGGAAAUACAAGAGCUCAACCAAUGCCUGAAAAGGUGGAAGCAUAAACAAGGCAUCAUGUUGAAGGACAAGGUCUCAAAUGUCCAACCCAUUCAAGAGGAGGUUGAUCCCCAUUUAGUCAAACAUUUUAAGAAGAGCAUGGAAGGGAUUGAGGCAAAUGCUGUGAUAAUAGAGGUUCAUUCUUUAAAAGAAAGGUGCGGUUAGCUGCCUUUGGUUGCUGAAAACUGGUGGAAACAAAAGGGAAAUACCUUACCUCUGUGUUAGA